UCAUUAUCGAAAUUACUGGGGAGGGUUGUAGCUGGCCUCUCGGGGCACGUGCACGCCCGAGCCUUUAAUCCACACACACCUGUGAACCAAAUGUAAGGGCCCGUGAAAAGGCCCNUACGUAUUAUCAUCGCACCCUUUGUAUUAUCAUAGAAUGUAAAUUGCGUCUUCGCCCUGAAAAGCGUCGACAAAAACUUAUACAACUUUCAACAACGGAUCUCUUGGCUCUCGCAUCGAUGAAGAACGCAGCGAAAUGCGAUAAGUAAUGUGAAUUGCAGAUUUUCAGUGAAUCAUCGAAUCUUUGAACGCACCUUGCGCUCCUUGGUAUUCCGAGGAGCAUGCCUGUUUGAGUGUCAUUAAAUCAUCAACCCCGAGANGUUUGUUCGCCUCGUGGGCUUGGACUUGGAGCGUGCCGGCGAAGGUCGGCUCCUCUCAAAAUCAUCAGCGGGAUUUCAGCCUCUGGGUUCCAGAAGUCGGUGUGAUAAUCAUGUUGCCCCGUCGUCGGAACCCUUCAAGGGCCCCGCUUACAAUCGUCCUCGGACAAACAUCAUUUGAAUUUGACCUC
rnacentral:rRNA from 1 species